rnacentral:rRNA from 1 species
UACCUGCAGCUCAAGUGGUGACCACUAUUAUUGGGCCUAAAACGUUCGUAGCCGGUUUGGUAAAUGCCUGGGUAAAUCGUGUAGCUUAACUAUACGAAUUCCGGGUAGACUGCCAAACUUGAGACCGGGAGAAGCUAGAGGUACUCCUGGGGUAGAGGUGAAAUUCUGUAAUCCUGGGGGGACCACCAGUGGCGAAGGCGUCUAGCUAGAACGGGUUUGACGGUGAGGAACGAAGCCCGUAGGGGCGCAAACCGGAUUAGAUACCCGGGUAGUCCAGGGUGUAAACGCUGCUUGCUUGAUGUAGUUGGGCUCCGAGCCCAAUUAGUGUCGGAGAGAAGUUGUUAAGCAAGCUGCCUGGGAAGUACGAUCGCAAGAUUGAAACUUAAAGGAAUUGGCGGGGGAGCACAGCAACGGGUGGAGCGUGCGGUUU